CAGCAGCCAACUAAGCCAACCAAGUGUUUUCCCCAUGGGGUCCUGGUGUGCAAUGGUUGCAAACAGCAGCCUCCUUGGUAGCAUAUGUAGCCGUUGCCUGUGUGAGUUGCCCUAAGGAACCUCAGAGAUGAUU